CCUCAGUGAUAGGAGUUUCAAAUAAUAAGUUAUCAUGGACCAUUUCGUUCUGCGUUGCUUAGUUUUGGUGGCUUCUGUCCAGGCACAGUUAGACAUCGGUGCCAGAUCAAUGAAUGUUGUUGAUAAUUCAUGGGGAAAACAGAACAACAUACGAGCUAAAUCUUCUUUCAAAAUUGACAAACCUGGGGGGCUGAUUGGUAAACAAAGUUAUCCAAGUUCAUAUUCAAAAGCUAUGGUUAGAGCUUUGUCCUUCAUGGCACAUGGUAAUGUUAUAUUAGAACAAGAUGACAAUGCUACACCACAAAAUCCUUAUGAUGAUAGCUAUAUUAUGAUCAGUGAGAAUGGCAAAAGCGUUGAACUUACAUACAGAGAAAUAACCAGAAUUAGGGAUGUUAACCACAGAUUAAAUUCAAUAUUCGCGACUGAUGUUGGGGCUGCAACUCCAGCAAUCACAACAGUUAUACAAGGAAAUCAAAUUCAAAGUACGAAUUCGGCUAUCAACCAAAAUAUGGAAAAUGGCUCUGGUACAAGAUCUGGAAGGGGAUCCGUCUCCAUAGGUUUCGUUUCAGGGUCUAACUCACAACAAAGGAGUCAUCCACAAUUUUACAAUCGGUUUGGAAUUAAUCCAGGACGGAUUCUAGGAUUCCGUGGACUUCCCGGUUUACACUUCAGACAGUUACCGUUUGGUCGUUUCCCACACAUGCUGCCACCGCACUUUUUAAACCCGUUUAUGCGACGGUUCGCGUUUUGAUCUCCUGGUUUUAUCAUGUAGCUCUUUACGCCUGCACGCCCCAUCACCACUUGUAUAUCAUAGUUAAAUUAUUUAAUGCCUUGCCAUUUGUAUAUUUAUAAUGUCACAUGCCGCCUCCCA